UCCUCUUUUGCUUUUAUUUUCUAAUUCCUCGCUUCCUCUUUCUGUCUCGCCCAAACACAUACAUAGAGCAGAGAGAAGGCACACAGAGAGAUAAGGGAACCGGUGUGGGAGAAUCAAACCGGGAGAGAGAGAGAGAGAGAGAGAGAGAUUGAGACUGAGGGAGAGAUCCAGCAAAGAGGGAGAGAUGCCGAGAGAGAGAGUGAGAGAUCCGGAGAAAGAGAGAUCGACGGGAGAGAGAGAGAGAACCCGAUCGUUGGUGGGUCUGUGCGGAGAAGGCCGGAGGUGCGAUUUCCGGUGGAUCCCAGGCCGAUUUUCAGCCAACUAUAGAGGACACGUAGCAGACCCAGGCUGAACCAGAACCGGUUUCAGGUGGGUUUUCUGGUGGGUUCGACAGUGGGAUGAUUUCCAGUAGAUUUUCUAUAAAAAUUCUCAAGGUAGAAGGUCGACCUUGACGCUAAUGGUAAGUCCAGAUGUUUGCGCAGGUUAUGAAGAUUAUGGAUUGGAUUAACUGCUAGCUUAAGAGAUUUAAAAGCUGUUGUAGUUAGAUUUUAGUGCUUUGUACCUAUAAAUGUUUGUACUGUUUUGUAUGUACCAUUUUUAAGGAUUUACUUGUAUUUAGUAAGUUUCCAUAUAU